rnacentral:ncRNA from 1 species
UUUUUAUAGUUUAUAUAAUUUAUUUUAAAUUUAUUUUACAUAUAAAUUUUAGUAAAUAUUUUAUUUUAUUUUAAUAAUAAAAUAUUUAAUUAAGUAGUAAUUAAUAUUAAAAAUUUAAGAAAUUAAGAUUUAGUAAUAUAAAAAUUAAAAACUAAUUUUGUGCCAGCAGUUGCGGUUAAACAAAAUUUAAAAUAAAUUUUUUUAGUAAUUAAUUAUUAAAAAUUUAUAAAUUAAUUUAAAUUUUAAAUUAUUAAGUGAAAUUUUAAUUUAAUAAAAAAUUAAAAUUUUUAUUUAUGAUAAUUAAUAAAUUUUAAAAAAAAACUAGGAUUAGAUACCCUAUUAUGAAAAAUUUAAAAUAAAUAUACUAAAAUAGUAAUUAAUUUUUUAUUGAAACUUAAAUAAAUUGGCGGUAUUUUAGUUCAUUUAGAGGAAUCUGUUUAAUAAUUGAUAUUCCACGAAUAAAUUUACUUAAUUUAAUAAUUUGUAUAUCGUUGUUAAAAAAAUAUUUUAAAAUAAUUAAUAAUAUUUAAAAAUUUAAAUUUAAAAUUAAAUCAGAUCAAGAUGUAGUUUAUAAUUAAGAAUAUAAUGGAUUACAAUAAAUUUAUUUAAAUGAAUAUAAAUUUGUAAAAAUUUAUUGAAGGUGAAUUUAAAAGUAAUUUUAUUUAGUUUUUUAAAAUGAUUAAAAAUUAAAAUAUGUACAUAUUGCCCGUCACUUUCAUAUAUAAGUUGAAAUAAGUCGUAACAAAGUAGAGGUACUGGAAAGUGUUUCUAGAAUGU